UACGUAGGGGGCAAGCGUUGUCCGGAUUUAUUGGGCGUAAAGAGCGUGUAGGCGGCCGUACAGGUCAGCUGUGAAAACUCGAGGCUCAACCUCGAGACGUCGGUUGAAACCGUACGGCUAGAGUCCGGAAGAGGAGAGUGGAAUUCCCGGUGUAGCGGUGAAAUGCGCAGAUAUCGGGAAGAACACCCGUGGCGAAAGCGGCUCACUGGACCAUAACUGACGCUGAGGAGCGAAAGCGUGGGGAGCGAACAGG
rnacentral:rRNA from 1 species